CCAUUUGACGCCCUCCAUUUCGUCUCGCCAGAGAGGAUCCAUGGAGGAGUUAGCGUAGUCAGGCCCGAUUCCUCCAAGCGUCCUCUGACGGGAAAUAGGUUUUUGGUUGCUAAUUUUCGAAGUAUUGUAUAUCGGCGACUGACUAAUACUCUGCCACAUUUAGCCUCAUGAGAGUAGUGAAUAAUACUAAGCGUAUUUACUUUAGUAAAGUUGUAAAGUACGAUUGUAGUCGUCAAAACUGAACAAAUUACAAAUGUUAACGAUUAAUAUGCCUGCAGUAUAAAAAAAUACUUGAAAUACUUCCUGAGGUCAAAAUUUACUGGGCAACAUUGUACAUCAGCUACUAGUAAAUCUCCAACGAAGGGUUGAAUAUGGGUUUACGAUAAGGGUUAAGCAACAGCACACUGUCAUACAAGAAUUAACCAAUACCAAUUAGUGUUACCGCUGUUCUUCAUUCAAAAAAUCAAUUUGGUAAAAAUCUACAGAAAUGAUGUUGGAGUAGCGUCAAUUUGAUAUCUUAAAAGUUCAAUCAAUCCCACAAUACGUUGCCAUGGUUAGUUGACUGAACGGUGAAUAUAGUUAUUGACUCUCAAAAAGUACUCAUUUUCAUUGGCCAAAUACUGAUGAGCUGUAGUUUCUCACACAACAAUUUGAUUCUUAUAUCUAUUAAACUAAAACUUCUGCUUCAAUAUUGUAUGUACAGCACGUAUGAAAUCGUGAUGAAUUCAGGUUUCGCUAGUUUAGUUAGAAUGAAUCUUAUUAAAUAAUUAUAUCGAUGUUUCAGAAUGACUGAUGAAUUUUAAUCUUUGUAACAAUCUACUGUGUUAGAGAAUAUGGGAUCCGCGUCUUCUUUAUAAUGAAUAAAAGAGACCUUACCAUAAAUGCUGUAACACUCAAAACGCGUUCAGCGUGAUCCACCGUUAAAUAACUCGCUCUGGGCGUCUUUUUAGCCAAAUUGAAAUGUCGACAAUUCAUCUGAUUUAAUCUCAGAAAUAUCAGUUUCAAAAUGAACUAGCCGUUCCUUUCGGAACUUCAUUUAACAUGUCAACUACAGGUUUUUAUUUAUUCACCAACAGUGUCUUCAAAAUUGAGUAUCAAUGUAUAUUCUUUUCCAUUUCCGCCAUCCACAAAGGUGAUUUGAAUUGCGCUGAGAUCAUGGUCCGCAGAUUUUAUUUUUAAAUUGAAAUUUUGUAUUAUACACUGUUCUUGGCAGAGUACCUGAGUACCAAUGUGAAGUUGCCCUGCGACCAUCGAAUUUCUUAAGAGUACCAUGAAUCGGUAACGUUUCCAGUAAGAUGGCGCCAAAUUCGAACAAAUGUUGUUGACAAAACCUUCGUUAUUCCACCCGUUGACUGAGGAAAAUAAAGACCGUUGCCCUAAUGGGCUUUGGUGUGACAACCGAGAAUCAUCGUGCGCUUGCGUCCCCUGAGAUGUUUCAACGGUAGAGUUGAGAACUUAUUGCAGAACAUCGGAGAGUUACCGAUUUCGGCGUGAUGCUGGC